AAGCGUGCGCAGGCGGUUUUUGUAAGUCUGAUGUGAAAUCCCCGGGCUCAACCUGGGAAUUGCAUUGGAGACUGCAAGGCUAGAAUCUGGCAGAGGGGGGUAGAAUUCCACGUGUAGCAGUGAAAUGCGUAGAUAUGUGGAGGAACACCGAUGGCGAAGGCAGCCCCCUGGGUCAAGAUUGACGCUCAUGCACGAAAGCGUGGGGAGCAAACAGGAUUAGAUACCCCAGU
rnacentral:rRNA from 1 species